rnacentral:lncRNA from 1 species
AACCAUUUGAAAUCAGAUCCGAUUCCACAAGGAAAGAUUUUCCUUUCAUGUCACAUCAUAAGUUCUAUCAAAUUUAGAAUCGCAUGUGCAAAAAAUAUGAAAGCCCCUCGGCCAAGGGUUUUCAGUUUUCAGUCACUGGCAUUUCAAGAAGCAUCAAAUCAAAGAAAGAAAGAAAGAAAGAAAGAAGCAAAUGAUACAGCAACUAGUUAAAGACCUCAGAGAUAGCAAGUGGAGGCAAGUUUUCUGGCAGUAGGGACAUGCACCAGUGUUUUGUCCAGAGACAUGUUAGCUAGCUCAGCUACGAAAAGAAAUGACAGGAUUGAGAUUUGAGGGCACCGGUCAAUGAGAAACCCUAGCAGCCCAUCGUGUAAGGGGAGCUGGGAACAUCACCUAACUAGCAAUUAUUUUCAUUUCCAGUGUAUUGUUGUGACCCUAUUGUCGAUAUUGCUGGCCUCCCACCACCGCAGGAUGCCCCCUGAAAAUGACGAGGUUGCCAUUUAUGUGGCCAUUUCUGAAGGACAGCCAGUGUUGUUGGUGUUGCUACUGUGUUUCUGUGAUCGACCGUACCAGUCCUAGCUAGCUCACCAACUGAUAGGAGAAUCCUGAGGAGUGGUGCGCUAGUGCUACUGGAGGACAAGUUUGGGGUCACGUACACCUUGUCAGGAUUAUUUAUUAGAUAGUAAUAAGAUUU